GUGAAGCACUAGCUACAGAAGGAAUGAAAAGGCUAAGCCAAAGUGGAAACAACACCCAGUUGUGGAUGUGUCUGGUGGUGAAAGUAAAGUCUGAUGCUAAAAGAACAAUAGUGUAUAGGAACCAGAGGUAUAUUCAGAGAAAUCAGUUACCAGUUCAGAGAUUUAAAUGUGCAGUGCUCCAAGCAAAAAAUGGCAACAGAGGUAUGCAUUUAUGUAUUUAUUCCAUGGAAGUGAGUAAAGCCAUUGCAAGCAUGAUGGAAAACCCAGAAGCAGAGAAAGAAAUGGUUCAUCAAAGCAUGUAUAAAAACAGAACCCUGCGGUUCCAGGACUCCACCUGAGUGGCGGGAAAACCUCAACCUGCACGGCACACGCCCAAGUCAGGGAGCAUGCGCAGUGUGUGUGCGCGCGCACGCGCGCACCCCUUGCUGCGCAUGCGCCUUGGUGCUCAUACGCCUUCCUGAGCGCAUUCUGUGAGAACCGUUGGGCGUGAGACGGGUGUGUUUAUUCAGUCCCGGUUCUUUCUCACUACUUGAGACUCACCAGGGAGAAAUAUGAGUGGGCAAGUGGCAUCAACAUUGGGACCUACAGAUCAAGAUUCCUCCCAGCUGGAUGAACCUGUGGUUGACCAGCAGCCCAGUGUUGAGCAACCUCAACAAGAGGAAGCACCAGCUGAGAAUCAGGAUAUCACACCUGGAAAGGAGGAAGUCAAUGGAGAGGAUCCAGUGAAUCAUGGUGAAGAGAAGGAGAAGGAUGCCCCUGGAGAUUCUGACCUGGAAACUGAUCUCCAGGAAUUGGCUUUGGCAAAGACUGGGGGUCAAGGCGGAGAUGGUCCCGAUGUCGAGGAGGAGAUUGCAUCAAAUACAGAGCCUGUUGAAAUGCCAGAAGCAGGUGAAGGGGAACCGUUUGCUUGAAAGAAGAUAAACUGAAACCAUCUAUGCUGUUCUUAUGCUGUUUAUUUGACUGUUAAAGUUCUGUCAAUAAAGUUUCAUUUUCUACUUGCA